AGAAGACGACGACGAAGAAGAAGAAGAUGAUGAUCAUACUCUAUAAAGGGUGUCAACCAUGGGAAUCUCAUCAUCAUCAUCUUCUUCUUCUUCUUCU
rnacentral:pre_miRNA from 1 species